rnacentral:tRNA from 2 species
GGGCGGUUAGCUCAGCUGGUUUAGAGCGUCUGCCUUACACGCAGAAGGCCAUAGGUUCGAAUCCUAUACCGCCCA